UACGUAGGGUGCAAGCGUUAAUCGGAAUUACUGGGCGUAAAGUGUGCGCAGGCGGUGAUGUAAGACAGAUGUGAAAUCCCCGGGCUCAACCUGGGAACUGCAUUUGUGACUGCAUCGCUGGAGUGCGGCAGAGGGGGAUGGAAUUCCGCGUGUAGCAGUGAAAUGCGUAGAUAUGCGGAGGAACACCGAUGGCGAAGGCAAUCCCCUGGGCCUGAACUGACGCUCAUGCACGAAAGCGUGGGGAGCAAACAGG
rnacentral:rRNA from 1 species